rnacentral:lncRNA from 1 species
CGAACACGUGCCCCGCCCCAUGACCUCCCACGGGUUCCCGGGGUGGUGGUACCCCCUCGUUCCACAGGGGUGGGGAGGCGGUCAGGGAAAGGGCUGGGGAUGCCGCCCCGACCCCGGGAAAACGGGCGCUUCCGCUCAUUCUUUGCGCGUCCCGCCCCUUUCCUGCUCCUUCCCAGCUGUGAUGAGGGUCCUCACGAGACCCCCCCUUCCUCCCCGCGACAGGCGGAGCCCGCACCUCCGCAGGAAGUAGGGGCCUGCAGAGGCCACGCUGAGUCCGAGGCCGAGUCUCCUGCCUCUGCCCUGUCAUUAGCGCGGGGCCAAUGAGGCUGAGACUGCCAAGACUGGAACCCACUGGGGCAGCUGUACCUGGCGACCAGGGAGGGCUUGCCCCAGCCCUGGGACCCAGUCACGGGAAGGGGGCCUCAGAGACCCGAUUGGUGCUGGACACACACCCCCGCCACCCCCAGGGAGCCCCGCGCGAACUCAUUCCAUGAUGUCCCUGUCGGUGCGGCCGC